CAACUCUUCUGAAGUUGACCUCGAAUCAGGUAGGAAUACCCGCUGAACUUAAGCAUAUCAAUAAGCGGAGGA
rnacentral:rRNA from 1 species